ACGCUGGCGGCAGGCCUAACACAUGCAAGUCGAGCGGCAGCACGGGUACUUGUACCUGGUGGCGAGCGGCGGACGGGUGAGUAAUGCCUAGGAAUCUGCCUGGUAGUGGGGGAUAACGCUCGGAAACGGACGCUAAUACCGCAUACGUCCUACGGGAGAAAGCAGGGGACCUUCGGGCCUUGCGCUAUCAGAUGAGCCUAGGUCGGAUUAGCUAGUUGGUGAGGUAAUGGCUCACCAAGGCGACGAUCCGUAACUGGUCUGAGAGGAUGAUCAGUCACACUGGAACUGAGACACGGUCCAGACUCCUACGGGAGGCAGCAGUGGGGAAUAUUGGACAAUGGGCGAAAGCCUGAUCCAGCCAUGCCGCGUGUGUGAAGAAGGUCUUCGGAUUGUAAAGCACUUUAAGUUGGGAGGAAGGGCAGUUACCUAAUACGUAUCUGUUUUGACGUUACCGACAGAAUAAGCACCGGCUAACUCUGUGCCAGCAGCCGCGGUAAUACAGAGGGUGCAAGCGUUAAUCGGAAUUACUGGGCGUAAAGCGCGCGUAGGUGGUUUGUUAAGUUGGAUGUGAAAUCCCCGGGCUCAACCUGGGAACUGCAUUCAAAACUGACAAGCUAGAGUAUGGUAGAGGGUGGUGGAAUUUCCUGUGUAGCGGUGAAAUGCGUAGAUAUAGGAAGGAACACCAGUGGCGAAGGCGACCACCUGGACUGAUACUGCACAC
rnacentral:rRNA from 1 species